AUUAGUUAAAACUUUCAACAACGGAUCUCUUGGUUCCGGUAUCGAUGAAGAACGCAGCGAAAUGCGAUAAAUAAUGUGAAUUGCAAAAUUCAGUGAAUCAUCGAGUCUUUGAACGCACAUUGCGCCCCCUGGUAUUCCGGGGGGCAUGCCUGUCCGAGCGUCAUUGCUGCCCUCAAGCCCGGCUUGUGUGUUGGGUCCUAGUCCUUAGGGACAGGCCCGAAAGGCAAUGGCAGUACCGCGUCCGGUCCUCGAGCGUAUGGGGCUUUGUCACCCGCUCUGUAGGCCCGGCCGGCGCUCCGCCGACCAACCAAAAAACUAUUUUUCAGGUUGACCUCGGAUCAGGUAGGGAUACCCGCUGAACUUAAGCAUAUCAAUAAGCGGAGGAAAAGAAACCAACAGGGAUUGCCUCAGUAACGGCGAGUGAAGCGGCAAGAGCUCAAAUUUGAAAGCUGGGCCUUUCAGGUCCCGCAUUGUAAUUUGCAGAGGAUGCUUCGGGAGUGGUCCCCAUCUAAGUGCUCUGGAACGGGCCGUCAUAGAGGGUGAGAAUCCCGUAUGGGAUGGGGUGUCCACGCCCGUGUGAAGCUCCUUCGACGAGUCGAGUUGUUUGGGAAUGCAGCUCUAAAUGGGUGGUAAAUUUCAUCUAAAGCUAAAUAUUGACCGGAGACCGAUAGCGCACAAGUAGAGUGAUCGAAAGAUGAAAAGCACUUUGAAAAGAGAGUUAAAAAGCACGUGAAAUUGUUGAAAGGGAAGCGCUUGCGACCAGACUCGCCUCUAGGGUUCAGCGUGCAUUCGUGCAUGUGUACUUCCCUUGGGGCGGGCCAGCGUCGGUUUGGGCGGCCGGUAAAAGGCUCUCGGAAUGUAACGCCUCUCGGGGCGUCUUAUAGCCGGGGGUGCCAUGCGGCCAGCUCAGACCGAGGAACGCGCUUCGGCUCGGACGCUGGCAUAAUGGUCGUAAACGACCCGUCUUGAAACACGGACC
rnacentral:rRNA from 1 species